UGCAUUUUUGCCCCGGGGCAGUGACAGUGUCUCAUUCAAACCUUCCCCCGCUGAAGGACAGCGAAAAGCUCGGCAAGAAGGAACAAGUGUGGCGCUUUUUGUGGUCCUGGCAGGCUGGGGCCGGACCACCACGCGAGAACAAAAGGGAUCAAAGCAGCGCCAGCAGCUCUGAUUUCACAGCCCCAGCUGGGUGCUUUUCCUAGUAGUUUUCCAGGCCCUUUCCCCAGGCAGAAACACAAAACACAUUCUAAGGGCCCUUGUCCUAUCUUGGCUCUCCCUGGCCCAGCCCAGAUUGAGAACAGCUCUUGGAGACACAUCUUCAUCCACAAAGUACAGCUGGUACCAAAAGACAAGAGCCUGUGACUUAAAAAUUCCACCACCAUAAAGAUGGACAAAAAACAGCAUUCCAGGGAAAUCCUUCAAUCCCAAUCAAUGUAAAUAAUAUUUACUGGGACAUCUAGUGGAAGAACAACACAGUGCAAAUCCCAGCUCUUAUCUCUGCUGGGGCUGGCUGGGAGGCUGGAAACCUUCAAAUAAAUCCAGUCUGGGCUGGAAAAAUCCUCACUUUCCAGAGAAUCCCAUGAGGAGCAACAGGAGCAAAGGGGGUGUGAAUCACCUUCAUUUAAUUUUAGAUGUCAUUCUACAAACUCUCUACUGGGUUUGAAUUGGUAAAGAUUUUUUAAAAAAAAUUAAAUAUUAAAAGCUUUGAGAAACCCAUCAUAAUUCUUUUUCCAAAAUUGGAAGAAACUAAUGAAAAACUAUAAGGUGGAGAAUGUUCUCUCUAUUUUUUUUUUCAGCCCCAACUGAAACCUCUUUUGCAGAUUGAAGUGAUAAUGAAGUAAAUAAAGGAAAUUAUGAAAUUGUUUUGGAAACAAGAGCCUCCCUUCUGGCUCCCAUUUGGGCAGGAGAUGCCUGGCACGACCAGGGCUCCUUGGAGCCACCAGUGAUGAUGGGAAAGGAUCAUUUUUGAAGCUUUUUGAGGCUUUUGAAGGAUCAUUUGUGUUGUUGCUGUGCCCAGAGUUCCCAGUAGCUCCAGAGGAGCCUGGAGCUGUUGGUGAGCCCCAGAUUUGUGCCAAUUCCCAGUGAAAAAAAUGCAUCUCUUGUUCUUUGCCAUGAAAACAAAGGAAAAGGGAAUAUUUGUGUCUGGGCGAAGCACUGAGAAAGCAGAAGCAGGAUUCUGUCACACACGGCCUGUCCUGGCUCCUCCAGCCCAAACUCAGACAAAUCCUUUGCUAUUUUUCAAAGAAAUACCUCAAAAUAUCUCAAUGCCUCUAAAAAUACCUUUCAAAAUUUCACAUGUUCCUUCUGCUCUUCCCAUCUCUGGG